rnacentral:rRNA from 1 species
UACGUAGGGUGCAAGCGUUGUCCGGAUUUAUUGGGCGUAAAGAGCUCGUAGGCGGCUUGGUAAGUCAGGUGUGAAACCUCCAGGCUCAACCUGGAGACGCCACUUGAUACUGCCAUAGCUAGAGUCCGGUAGGGGAGCGUGGAAUUUCUGGUGUAGCGGUGAAAUGCGUAGAUAUCAAGAGGAACACCUGAGGUGAAGACGGGUUGCUGGGCCAACACUGACGCUGAGGCGCGAAAGCCAGGGGAGCAAACGGG